rnacentral:lncRNA from 1 species
GGCAGUAGGUAUCAGCUGUGCAGUCCUUCUGACCCCAAAGUUUCUAAUCUCUCUGGUCUUUAUUUCUCACUCCUACCUAAGGGACCUUCGGCCCCUGGUCUGAGCCUUUGGGGCUCUUCUCCCCCCCCAUAGGCUCUAACAGAUCUGGCGCCUGGAUCAGGGACCUGAAGGUCACCUUUACAUCUGAGGAGAGGAACGGCAUUUAAUGGAGGAUACAAAUGUAUAAAUCUAAGAAUACAUGCACAUCAGACUCAGCUGCAAGAGUGUUGGAUUCUUUGAAGUACCAGUGUCACCAACUCAGUGAGGGGUAUGAAAACACCAUGGGGAACAAAGGAGAAGCCGAGACUCAGACUUUAGGUUAUGUAUCUGUACUUAAUGGCUAAAGAAAAAGAAAGAAAGAAAGCAAAAAAAGAAUUAAAGAAACAAAGACACAAAGAAAAAGAAAAAAGAAAGAAACAAAGAGUGGAAGGAAGAAAGAAGAAAUGGAAAGGAAAGAAAGACUGCAAUGUCCUGAACACCUAGUGAUUAAAUUAACAAUGAAAUUCCAGAACAAUUUUUGCAUGUUCACAGACAAAAGAUUUCUAAAUUCAAGGAAAGGGACAUUUUCAAAACAUAAGAAUAUUCUACACUAGUCAGAAAAUAAAGGAAUGAAUAGAAUAAUGUGUUUUAAAGAU